UAUAUUUUAAUGUAAAAGCAUAUAAAUUUUUGAAAUUUAAAGAAAAAGAAAAUCUUUUAAAUAUAA
rnacentral:tRNA from 1 species